GUGAUCAUGUGACGGGAGAGCGCAAGAGGAGCUGGUCGGUAACGGAGGACCGAAUGCCAAUCUAAUUGAGAAAGCGCCUUUAUUGCGCGUGAGAGACGGGAGGGACAGACGUUUAUAGUGCUGCACACAUACACAGACGGACAAGACACAGGAAGCUCUGGGGAACUCGGGGAAAGGGUGCAUUUUCUUCGCCGCAAGAGGAAGUUAAGGACAAAUCUCUCGCUAAAAUAAAUCUUAAAAGGGGCACUGGGCACGCGGGAGUCGCCUUUGCGAGAAACUUGUGGGAUUUAUCGGGAAUUGUUUCUGAAAGGUGACCUGGCUUCCCUCUCCACACGUUUAUAUUUCAUUUGGUUCAUUUAAUUGCAUUUCAUCAGCUGCCCUGAACAUCUGUCAUCUCCCGAAUUGCCGUAGCAGCCUAUUGCAGCAGCGGAUUGUGCGUAAAGACAGAGACAGCAGCCUUUUCCGCGGACGAGUCAGGCACUUGCCUUCUUCACUUGCUUUAUUUAUUAUUUAUAUCCAAGCCUUUAUUUAUUUUGGGACUCUUUCCGUCUAUUUUGGGGCGUCGGUGGUGAUUUCUGUGGAAUAUGGUGGGGGAAAUGGAAACGAAAGAGAAGCCGAAGCCGACCCCAGAUUAUCUGAUGCAGCUCAUGAACGAUAAGAAACUGAUGAGCAGUCUGCCCAACUUCUGCGGGAUCUUCAACCACCUCGAACGGCUUCUCGACGAAGAGAUCAGCAGGGUACGAAAGGACAUGUACAACGACACGUUAAACGGCAGCACAGAGAAGAGAAGCUCCGAGCUCCCGGACGCCGUCGGCCCCAUCGUUCAGCUCCAAGAGAAACUCUAUGUGCCUGUUAAAGAAUAUCCUGACUUUAAUUUUGUGGGCCGGAUCUUGGGUCCGCGGGGGCUCACAGCCAAACAGCUGGAGGCAGAGACAGGAUGUAAGAUCAUGGUGAGAGGGAAAGGCUCCAUGAGGGACAAAAAGAAGGAGGAACAAAACCGAGGCAAACCCAACUGGGAGCAUCUGAAUGAAGACCUCCAUGUGCUCAUCACGGUGGAGGAUGCCCAGAACCGUGCUGAGAUAAAGCUUAAGCGUGCAGUGGAGGAGGUUAACAAGCUACUCGUGCCUGCGGCUGAAGGCGAGGACAGUCUGAAGAAGAUGCAACUGAUGGAACUAGCCAUUCUUAAUGGCACCUACAGAGACGCCAACAUCAAAUCACCUGCCCUUGCAUUCUCUCUUGCAGCGAGCGCCCAGGCACCACGGAUCAUCACCGGCCCAGCACCUGUCCUGCCGCCCACAGCCUUGCGCACGCCUACACCUGCAGGGCCCACCAUCAUGCCCCUCAUCCGCCAGAUCCAGACCGUCAUGCCCAACGGCUCGGCUCACCCAGCAACCGCCACCCUAGUGCAGCCCGGUCCAGAGUCAGGCCUGAUUUACGCAACGCCCUAUGAUUACCCCUACACACUGGCCCCCGCAACCUCCAUUUUGGAGUAUCCCAUCGACUCCAGCGGGGUUUUAGCAUCCUCAAAGGCCGAAGAGCUGCCCCUCUACCUGGGCUUUCAGACCUGUCACAUUCCCAUCACAGUUCAGCGCGGAGAGCCAACCGGCCGGCCUCCCUUUUAAAGUGCCCCCUCUCUCCCCCGCCCCCUCCGGCAAGCCCCUCCCUCACACCGCAGACACGCCCCCUGUCCCGCCUCCCUCUUAUCGGACUAGCUGGACUCCCCGGCCUCAUUCAUUCUGUCAGUUUCUUUUUUUUUUGGUUUUGUACUUUUGUUUUUAUCUGUAAUGUGAUGUUUAAGUUUUUUUAUGUGUUCAAUGAUGAGGGAGACAAAGCACUGAGCUCCAAACUGCUGCACAAGCCUUUCUGGACUACCCCUAUCCCUCAGUCUGAGCGGGCCGCAUCAGGAGGGGAAACAUGAGGAUGGUGAGGGGACAGUGGGGAUCAAAUUGGGAGGUAAACUAUUUGAGAUGGGGCAUCUGUCGAAAGCCAGGCUGUUCAUCGAGCAGUUUUAGGACAGUUUAAUGCACUAUGGUGGGGCAUUUUGACUUAAAAUGGCAUAGUCACAAUAUAUAAUCAAACAGUGAGGAUAUUGGCUUAUAAUAUUUUACCAAAGCCUUCUAACAACAUUAUUGCACUGCAGUAUUACAGCUCUAGUGAAAGUGUUGAGAAUUCAAAUAAGAAUGAUUCAAAAAGAAAAAAGCUAAAUCAAAACAACCAUAGUUAAUGACAAAAUGGGAAAUUAUGCUUAAUUGUCUUAAUAUAAAAUAUCUUAAUAUAAAGAAAAGCUUUAUUUUAUUGUAUACUGUCAUAUUUGUCUUUUGAUUUUUGGUUAAAAUAUGAUCCAGGCAUACACUACCAUUCAAAUGUUUGGGGUCAGUAAGAUUUUUUAAGAAAUUUAUAUUUUUUUCAUGAAGGAUGCAUUAAACUGCAGCAAAAAAAAAAACCGGUG